rnacentral:rRNA from 1 species
AGCGUGGGGAGCGAACAGGAGUAGAUACCAUGGUAGUCUACGCUGUAAACGAUGGGUACUAGGUGUUGGUUGUAAUGAUCAGCGCCGGAGCAAACGCAUUAAGUACCCCGCCUGGGGAAUACGGUCGCAAGACUGAAACUCAAAGGAAUUGACGGGGGCCCGCACAAGCGGUGGAGCAUGUGGUUUAAUUCGAUGCAACGCGAAGAACCUUACCUGGGCUUGAACUGCAGGUGCUAUCUCCUGAAAGGGAGUUUCCUUCGGGACGCCUGUAGAGGUGCUGCAUGGCUGUCGUCAGCUCGUGCUGUGAGGUGUUGGGUUAAGUCCCGCAACGAGCGCAACCCCCGUCCCUAGUUGCCAUCAGGUCAAGCUGGGAACUCUAGGGGGACUGCCCCGGAUAACGGGGAGGAAGGUGGGGAUGACGUCAAGUCAUCAUGGCCCUUACGUCCAGGGCUACACACGUGCUACAAUGGCCGGUACAACGGGUAGCGAGACAGCGAUGUGGAGCAAAUCCCUUAAAACCGGUCUCAGUUCAGAUUGCAGUCUGCAACCCGACUGCAUGAAGUUGGAAUCGCUAGUAAUCGCGGAUCAGCAUGCCGCGGUGAUACGUUCCCGGGCAUUGUACACACCGCCCGUCACGCCAUGGGAGUCGGUAGCACCCGAAGCCGGUGGCCCAAUCCUGCUUGCAGGAGGGGAGCCGUCGAAGGUGAGACC